AUCUCAAUGCAUAGUGGUUAGUGCACAGGCCUGGAUAGGUUGAGACGCGGGUUCAAAUCCCGCCUGAGAUG
rnacentral:tRNA from 1 species